UCCUCUGGUUUUACAUAUAUUGCAAAUAAAC
rnacentral:piRNA from 1 species